rnacentral:lncRNA from 1 species
GGAUUGUCAGAAUGCUCUAUAUCUAAAAUCAGAAAGUCAAUCGGGAAGUAGAACUCCUCUACCUUUACUAGAACAUCUUCGAUCAUCCCUUGCGGUGCCUUAACAGAUCUAUCAGCUAAUUGCAAGGUUACCAAAGUGGGUUUUAACUCAUCAAAUCUAAAGAGGUCAUAUACUAAACUAGGCAAAAGGUUCACACUAGUCCC